rnacentral:rRNA from 1 species
GAUGAACGCUGGCGGCGUGUCUAAUACAUGCUAGCCGAGCGAGCAGACGAGAGUGCUUGCACUCUCUAACGUUAGCGGCGGACGGGUGAGUAACACGUGGGUAACCUACCGAUAAGACUGGGAUAGCUUCGGGAAACCUGAGGUAAUACCGGAUAAUAAUUAGCUUCGCAUGAAGCAAUAGGGAAAGACGGUUCUGCUGUCACUUAUAGAUGGAUCCGCGGUGCAUUAGCUAGUUGGUGAGGUAACGGCUCACCAAGGCAACGAUACAUAGCCGACCUGAGAGGGUGAUCGCCCACACUGGGACUGAGACACGGCCCAGACUCCUACGGGAGGCAGCAGUAGGGAAUCUUCCGCAAUGGACGAAAGUCUGACGGAGCAAUGCCGCGUGAGUGAAGAAGGUUUUCGGAUCGUAAAACUCUGUUGUAAGGGAAGAACAAGUACGUUAGUAACUGAACGUACCUUGACGGUACCUUACCAGAAAGGCACGGCUAACUACGUG